AUGUCGACGAAUGUAGUUGCAUGCGGGAUCGACUACAUCAACAAUCACACCGAUGUGUGUGCCGACAAGAUAAUCAUGCAUUACAGUGUGACUUGUAAAAUAUGGGAUGGUGACUUCCACCACAACAUCCCGAGGAAGAAUUUUGCUCAACACGGUGAAUUCAAGCUCACACUGAAGAAAUAUGUCAUGUUCCCCAUGUUCCAGGAGCUUGCACCACAUGACCCACACGACAAGUGUUCUCACCACUAUGUGAUAUGUCUUGACCUGAAGAACCAACAUUUUGAGGUGCUUGAUUCAAUCCGUUCGGAAGCUGAUGCAGACCUUACUACGCAUGCUGAAUUCUUCAUCAACAACCUCAAAGAGACAUGGAACCGUCACUACGAACACUCAAAGGUCUAG
rnacentral:rRNA from 1 species